rnacentral:tRNA from 1 species
GCUGGUGUUGCGGCUCAGUGGUGGUAGAGCACUUGCCUAGCAUGUGUGAGGCCCUGGGUUCGAUUCUCAGCACUGCA